rnacentral:rRNA from 1 species
GCUAACUACGUGGCAGGAGGCGCUGUAAGACGUAGUGUGCGAGCGUUGUACGGAUUUAUUGGGCGUAAAGAGUUCGUAGGUGGUUUGUUAAGACUGAUGUUAAAGACUGGGGCUCAACCUCGGAAAUGCAGUGGGUACUGGCAGACUCGAGUGUGGUAGAGGCAAUCGGAAUUCCAGGUGUAGCGGUGAAAUGCGUAGAUAUCUGGAAGAACACCGGUGGCGCAAGCGGAUUGCUGGGCCAUAACUGACGCUGAGGAACGAAAGCUAGGGUAGCGAAUGGGAUUAGAUACCCCUGUAGUC